GUGUUUAUUCAGUGAGAUCACAAAAUGGCCGCCAACUGUCAUUUGUCAUGUAAAAACGGUGAAUUUUUCGAAUUGUUUCGAAAUAAAAUGCAUGCAAGGACAAAAAACGCAUAUCAAGAUGUUGUCGAUGAGUCACCACAUACCGAUUUUCCAGCGACCAUUAUUCAGUGCAGUGCAGUUCAGAAUCCAAGUGAAACUGGACGACCACUCGCGUUCAACUGUCGGAUGUCAAA